GACGAACGCUGGCGGCGUGCCUAAUACAUGCAAGUAGGACGCAGUUGCGAACGGGUGAGUAACGCGUAGGUAACUACCUAUUAGAGGGGGAUAACUAUUGGAAACGAUAGCUAAUACCGCAUACUAGUAGAUGGACCUGCGUUGUAUUAGCUAGUAGGUAGGGUAAUGGCCUACCUAGGCAACGAGACAUAGCCGACUGGUGGGGGGUGUGCGCAACACCUGGACUGAGACACGGCCCAGACUCCUGCGGGAGGGAGCAGUAGGGAAUCUUCGGCAAUGGGGGGAACCCUGACCGAGCAACUCCGCGUGAGUGAAGAAGGUUUUCGGAUCGUAAAGCUCUGUUGUUAAGGAAGCGGUACUUAACCAGAAAGGGACGGCUAACUACGUGCCAGCAGCCGCGGUAAUAC
rnacentral:rRNA from 1 species